rnacentral:rRNA from 1 species
UACGAAGGGGGCUAGCGUUGCUCGGAAUCACUGGGCGUAAAGGGUGCGUAGGCGGGUCUUUAAGUCAGGGGUGAAAUCCCAGAGCUCAACUCUGGAACUGCCUUUGAUACUGUCGAUCUGGAGUAUGGAAGAGGUGAGUGGAAUUCCGAGUGUAGAGGUGAAAUUCGUAGAUAUUCGGAGGAACACCAGUGGCGAAGGCGGCUCACUGGUCCAUUACUGACGCUGAGGUGCGAAAGCGUGGGGACCAAACAGG